AACGAACGCUGGCGGCAGGCCUCAAACAUGCAAGUCUAGGGGGCGUAGCAAUACGUCACCGGCGGACGGGUGCGUAACACGUGGGAAUGUACUUACUGGUUCGGAACAACUCAGGGAAACUUGAGCUAAUACCGAAUGUGCCCGAAAGGGGAAAGAUUUAUCGCCAGUAAAUCAGCCCGCGUCCGAUUAGCUAGUUGGCGGGGUAAAGGCCCACCAAGGCGACGAUCGGUAGCUGUUCUGAGAGGAAGAUCAGCCACACUGGGACUGAGACACGGCCCAGACUCCUACGGGAGGCAGCAGUUGGGAAUCUUGGACAAUGGGGGAAACCCUGAUCCAGCCAUGCCGCGUGAGUGAUGAAGGCCUUCGGGUUGUAAAACUCUUUCGACGGGGACGAUAAUGACGGUACCCGUAGAAGAAGCUCCGGCUAACUUCGUGCCAGCAGCCGCGGUAAUACGAAGGGGGCUAGCGUUGUUCGGAAUUACUGGGCGUAAAGCGUGCGCAGGCGGUCUUCCAAGUCAGUGGUGAAAGCCCGGAGCUCAACUCCGGAACUGCCAUUGAAACUGUGAGACUCGAGUACGAGAGAGGUGAGUGGAAUUCCCAGUGUAGAGGUGAAAUUCGUAGAUAUUGGGAAGAACACCGGUGGCGAAGGCGGCUCACUGGCUCGUAACUGACGCUCAGGCACGACAGCGUGGGGAUCAAACAGGAU
rnacentral:rRNA from 1 species